CCAAUAGCGUAUAUUAAAGUUGUUGCAGUUAAAAAGCUCGUAGUUGAAUUUCGGGGUCAGUAGGUUGGUCAUGCCACUGGUAUGUACUGGUCUCACUGAUUCCUCCUUCCUGAUGAACUGUAAUGCCAUUAAUUUGGUGUUGCAGGGAAUCUGGACUGUUACUUUGAAAAAAUUAGAGUGUUUAAAGCAGGCUAACGCCUGAAUACAUUAGCAUGGAAUAAUGAAAUAGGACGUUCGAUCCUAUUUUGUUGGUUUCUAGGAUUGACGUAAUGAUUAAUAGGGAUAGUUGGGGGCAUUAGUAUUCAAUUGUCAGAGGUGAAAUUCUUUGAUUUAUUGAAGACUAACUACUGCGAAAGCAUUUGCCAAGGAUGUUUUCAUUAAUCAAGAACGAAAGUUAGGGGAUCGAAGACGAUCAGAUACCGUCGUAGUCUUAACCAUAAACUAUGCCGACUAGGGAUCGGAUGAUGUUAAUUUUUUAAUGACUCAUUCGGCGCCUUACG
rnacentral:rRNA from 1 species